rnacentral:lncRNA from 1 species
CAUAAAUGAAAGAAAUAGCACAGAGUUACUCAGCAUUCUAUUCAAUAAGUUCAGCACACUAGAUAAUCUGGCUGAACUUCAGGUGCCGGAGAACAAUGUGUUUUUCUAUAUCAUGCCAAUUUGACUCUAUCUAAAUAUAAGAAGGUUAGAGAACCCUUGAAGAUAUGGAUCUGAGUUGUGUAGAAUAAUGACUUAAUGGAGAAUGCAGUGUACCUGAUAGACUUGUACCAUAAGUAGAGAAAGGAGAACAGUAUUUUUCUGAAAGUUGUUGAUAACUUCUUGUACAGUACAACUUAAAUACCACAUAGUGUAUGAUUUAUUUGAUCAUUCAUAAAUGAGUGAGUGGGUCUGGGAAGUCUGGGAAACUUGACGCGGAAAACUUCUAGCACAACACUCUCGUCACCAGACUGACCACGCUUGUUGCUGGCAAAGAUGCUCUUGUGUCCUUUGGUCACAGUUCUUCUUAGCAGCCCUUGACCCACAGAUGAACCAAAUUAAACACAGCCAAUUGAGUAUUUCUGGUCUCACUGAAUUCGGACUGGUUACACUGAAUGUUGUGGAGAAAGAUCACUGUGCAGAAGUGCAUCAAGAGGUUCACUGAUGCAAUGAAACUCGGCUUUCUUUCUGAAGAACUGCAGCUGCACUUCAAGUGUGACAGUUCUGUCCAGCUAUGGACAGGUCCAGAAAAAGGAUGCUCCAAAUUCAAAGUAUACUCCUUCACAUGUUCUGGAAGGAUCUCUGAGUGCCUGUGGGAUGGAUUGCUAUCUUGUUUUACUGUUCUGGAUCUCUGCUGGGAUUGA